ACUAAAGGCACAUGGAACCGAAAAAAUACAUAGGCUUGAAAAAAAAAUACUCCAACAACUUGACAUGCUCUUAAAAAAAUUAAAAUAAAAAGAAAAAAAAUUGUGUUUUUUUCUCAAGUAUAACACAGUAUGUGUGGGCAUGACAUGUGUGCCCGGUCACGUCUAAGCAAUAAAAAUAGGCACGACAUUAUAUGGCACGAGCACAAUCACGCGAGGGUUUUCUUUGAUGGCCGGCCCGGUCCAUUGGGCAUCUCUAGUCUUAACAGCAAAACAUGAUGAUUUGACUAGUAGGUAACGCCAUAAAAGAUCUCAAUCUUCAUUUAACGAUUUUUUUUUAAUUUAUAAUUUUUUUUUUUGGGUUAGGUUUUGGGGGGGGGGGGGGGUUUGGAAUUUCUCUUACGAAUAGAAUCAAAACUGGACCGUCCAUGGUGAUUCAAGUGAGUUAGGAG
rnacentral:lncRNA from 1 species